ACUGGGCUGAGUUUGUGGCGCGCUUAGUGAUGGGAUGGCCCUGUGCAGGACGCCGACACGAAAAGAUGAAGAGUUCAAUCCGUGCUGUCUGAACUCACAGUGUAGCAGGCGAGAUAGACGGGAAGAUCGGUAGGGUGGGAGAUGCCGGAAAGGCUUCCCGUGAGACUGGAUAAGAAAUCAAAAAUCUGGUGAAAUUGCCGGCAAGAGGGAGUUAAGGACAUUCCAGGCAGAGGCAAGGUAAAGGCGCGGUGGGAGUGGGUCACUGUGAUAAAAGUCUGAAAAGGACAUUUGGGGGCUCUCUUGGGUGAGAGGCAGUGCCUCAUGUCCCCCCUUCAGUGCUCGUUGAGCAUUCAAUUAAAAUGUUAACACUUUGUAGCCAAACAAGUUCUCUUUUUAAGAGGAAAACCCUGGAUUUCCAAACGGCUCAUUUUCUGUAGCUUCUUGCAAAUGGAUACCACCACCAGCUGUGCCUAGUGAAAAAA
rnacentral:lncRNA from 1 species